GAUGAACGCUGGCGGCGUGCCUAAUACAUGCAAGUCGAGCGAACGGACGAGAAGCUUGCUUCUCUGAUGUUAGCGGCGCGCGGGUGAGUAACACGUGGAUAACCUACCUAUCAGACUGGGAUCACUUCGGGAAACCGGAGCCAAUACCGUAUGAUAUUUUGCACCGCAUUGUUCAAAAGUGAAAGACGGUCUUGCUGUCACUUAUAGAUGGAUCCGCGCUGCAUUAGCUAGUUGGUAAGGUAACGGCUUACCAAGGCAACGAUGCAUAGCCGACCUGAGAGGGUGAUAGGCCACACUGGAACGGAGACACGGUCCAGACUCCUACGGGAGGGAGCAGUAGGGAAUCGUCCGCAACGGGCGAAAGCCUGACGGAGUAACGGCGAGUGAGUGAUGAAGGUCUUCGGAUCGUAAAACUCUGUUAUGAGGGAAGAACAUAUGUGUAAGGAACUGUGCACAGCGUGACGGUAACGAAUCAGAAAGCCACGGCUAACUACGUG
rnacentral:rRNA from 1 species